AGUGAACGCUGGCGGUAGGCCUAACACAUGCAAGUCGAACGGCAGCACAGUAAGUGCUUGCUCUUACGGGUGGCGAGUGGCGGACGGGUGAGGAAUAUAUCCGAAUCUUCUUUUUCGGGGGGGUUAACGUAGGUAGACUUACGCUAAUACCGCAUACGACCUACCGGUGAAAGCAGGGGAUAUUCGGACCUUUCGCGGUUGAAUGCGCCGAUGUGGGGUUUGUUAGUUGGCGGGGUGAAGGCCCACCCUGUCGACGAUCCGUGGCUGGUGUGGGUGGAUGGUCGGCCACACUGGAACUGAGACACGCACCAGAGUCCUACGGGAGGGAGCAGUGGGGAAUAGUGGACAAUGGGGGCAAGCCUGAUACAGCCAGACCGCGUGGGUGGAGAAGGCGUUCGGGUUGUAAAGCCCGUUUUCUGGGUAAGAAAAGCAUCAGCUUAAUACCACGCUGUUGUGACGGUACCGAAUAAAGAAGCACCGGCUAACUUCGUG
rnacentral:rRNA from 1 species